AGCAGUCGCCGCGGGAAUACGGAGGGUGCAAGCGUUAAUCGGAAUUACUGGGCGUAAAGCGUACGUAGGCGGUUCGUUAAGUCUGUUGUGAAAGCCCCGGGCUCAACCUGGGAAUGGCAAUGGAUACUGGCGAGCUAGAGUGUGUCAGAGGAUGGUGGAAUUCCCGGUGUAGCGGUGAAAUGCGUAGAGAUCGGGAGGAACAUCAGUGGCGAAGGCGGCCAUCUGGGACAACACUGACGCUGAGGCACGAAAGCGUGGGGAGCAAACAGGAUUAGAUACCCGUGUAGUCCCUGUCUCUUAUAC
rnacentral:rRNA from 1 species